rnacentral:rRNA from 1 species
AGAUUGAACGCUGGCGGCAUGCCUUACACAUGCAAGUCGAACGCGAAAGGGGGGCAACCCCCGAGUAGAGUGGCGAACGGGUGAGUAAUACAUCGGAACGUAUCCAGUAGCGGGGGGAUAACCUCUCGAAAGAGAGGCUAAUACCGCAUACGACCUACGGGUGAAAGAGGGGGAUCGCAAGACCUCUCACUAUUGGAGCGGCCGAUGUCGGAUUAGCUA